UACGUAGGCAGCAAGCGUUGUUCGGAGUUACUGGGCGUAAAGGGUGUGUAGGCGGUUGUUUAAGGUUGGUGUGAAAUCUCCCGGCUCAACUGGGAGGGUGCGCCGAAUACUGAAUGACUAGAGUGCGGGAGAGGAAAGUGGAAUUCCUGGUGUAGCGGUGAAAUGCGUAGAUAUCAGGAGGAACACCGGUGGUGUAGACGGCUUUCUGGACCGUAACUGACGCUGAGACACGAAAGCGUGGGUAGCAAACAGG
rnacentral:rRNA from 1 species